AAUAUUUUACAAAGAUGGUGGAUGUGCCGGGAAAUAUAUUUUCCGUAAAAAAUUUUAAAUCACUGAUUAAUAUACAAUUUAUUUUUCAAAAAUGGUGGACCGAAAGUUUCAACACAAGACUUAAAAAACAAUGAUUUAUCAUUAUCCGUUCGAAAUGACUUUUUUAUUGUAGAAAAUCAUUCGAUUAAAACUGAAGAAUGGAUCGUUUUUUUGCAAAAAUCAAUGGAGAAAGUUAUCGGAGGUGAACUCACUUCGUUGACACAAACAUACCUGACUAACAUAAUUGUGUCACCAUUACGUAACACUAAUACAAGUCCAAAAGUGUUGGUUUAUGUCGCUAAACUUUUAUUGUUACCUUUCGCUCUUCGAGGAAUUUCACACGAGACCAAGGAACAAAUCAAAAAAGUGUUUCUCGAAGUGAAGUUGGUUCCAAAUUUGAUUUACUCCUCCAAAAAAAUAAUGAAAGUCUUGGACAGUUCCAGUGAUGAAACGACUUACAAAAAUAUAGCUGAAUGUGUCUAUAUGUUGAUUACACAUUUGGUGCAUUUGGAUAACGAGUUUUUGAGUCAAUUGUGUGAUUCCAUCGCUGUUUUGAAUGUGUAUGCGAUUUUGAAAUCGUUUCUUUUGAUUUGCAAAAGUCGAUUACAACUGGUUAUGGAUUUGUUGGCGAUUUUGACGCAUGUUUUGCGCGUUUUUCCCGAACAUUUUGAACUAGUCGAUCGAAUUGUUUUGAGUGAAGGGAAAAGUGUUAAUUUUGUGGAAUUAUUGCGACAUAAUAAUCCCUUGAUGCAAGAACGGACGUGUUUUUUUCUUUUGUUUUUAGGCAAACAUUUGCCAGCCAAUAAGGUGGAAGUUUUUUGGAAUGAAACGGUGAGAGAGACUUUGGAAGCUCUAAUGUAUGAUUCGAUUGGAAGUGUUAGGAAUGCUGAUGAUCGCACCGUUGAAGAACUUAGGUGUAAAGAUUUUUAUAAACUGUCUAUUGUGAAACCAACUUGAUUUUAAUAAAAACUUAUUAUUCUUA